CGUCCCGGAUCUACGACCGAAAUCCGUAAAAUGGGAGUUAUGGAAUCCGCGGCUUUGUUUUGUCCAAACUGACCGUCUGGCAGGAUUUUGGUCAAAUCCAGGUUAAAUCCUGCUGUAAAUCCGCAACCAAACAGCCGCUUAAACGGUCUUUACAGGAAACGUUGAACAUUGAAGCCUGUUUUGGGCUUUUCUUCUUCUCCACCCUUCCUUCCGCGUUACCUUGUUCUUGGAGAAUUUCUCCUUUUCCAUUCCUUUUCCCAAUUUCAUUUUAGGGUUUUUUUUUUUUCACAGGAGCCUAUCAGCGUCAGGUACCGAAUAUGUUGGAGCAGCUGCUGAUAUUCACAAGAGGCGGUCUCAUUUUAUGGACCUGCAAGGAGCUCGGCAACGCCCUCAGGGGAUCUCCGAUCGACGCCCUCAUCCGAUCCUGCCUCCUGGAGGAGCGAUCCGCUGACGCCGCCUUUAACUACGAAGCCCCCGGAGCUGCAGCCUACACGCUUAAGUGGACUUUCCACAACGAGCUCGGUCUCGUGUUCGUAGCCGUCUACCAGCGGAUUCUCCAUCUUCUAUACGUGGAUGAGCUUCUCUCCGCCGUGCGCCGCGAGUUUUCGCUGAUUUACGAUCCUAAGCGCACUGCAUAUGACGAGUUUGAUGAGAUAUUCCGCCAGCUUCACAAGGAGGCAGAGGCACGAGCAGAGGAGAUGAGAAAGUUGAAGCAGGCUGGGAAGGCGCCUCCUUUAUUAGCCAAGAAACAGGUCCAGGGUGCUGCCCUGAAAGGUUCACAGCAGGGUGGUGGAAAGAAGAGGAGUGGCGGUAAUAGUGGUUCUGUGAAUGAUGAAGAUGAUGGUAAUUCUGACAAACGGCAUGGUUUAGUUAGUAAUAGCUCUAAUGGUCACCAAAACGGGAGCACGUCCCGUGCACCUAGUUCCAUUAAGGGGAAAGAAAAUGGACUCCCCGAUUCUGGUGCUUUUGAUGUAAGUAAAUUACAGAAACUGCGCGCAAAAGGCGCAAAAAAGAAUUCUGUCGGCGGAGCUAGUAAAGCUUCGAAGGAGGAGCCGAAGAAGAAUGUAAAAAAGAAUAGGGUUUGGGAUGAUUCGCCUUCUGAGUCAAAGUUGGAUUUUACGGAUCCUGGUGAUGAGAGAGGGGAUGGUGUCAUAGAGGAUAUCGCAGCUGAUCAGGGUGAAAGCAUGAUGGACAGGGAGAUUGUGAGCAGUGAAAGUGAGGAUGAGGGGGAUGACGAAUUUGAGAGUGCUAAAGCAAGUGCCAAGAAGAAGAGCUGGUUCUCAUCUAUGUUUCAGAGUCUUUCUGGAAAUGCGUUGUUGGAGAAAUCUGAUCUGCAGCCUGCACUGAAAGCUCUCAAGGAUAGAUUGAUGACAAAAAAUGUGGCAGAAGAAAUAGCUGAAAAGCUCUGUGAAUCUAUUGUGGCUAGUCUUGAAGGAAAGAAGAUGGGAUCAUUCACUAGGAUUUCUUCUACCGUCCAGGCAGCAAUGGAAGAGGCUCUACUUCGCAUUUUAACUCCUAAACGAUCUGUUGACAUUUUGAGGGAUGUGCAUUCUGCCAAGGAACAGGGGAAGCCUUAUGUUAUUGUCUUUGUUGGAGUCAAUGGUGUUGGGAAAUCCACCAACCUUGCCAAGGUGGCGUACUGGCUUCUGCAGCACAAUAUUAGUGUCAUGCUUGCAGCUUGUGAUACUUUCAGGUCUGGUGCUGUUGAGCAGCUCAGAACCCAUGCCCGCAGACUCCAGAUUCCUAUUUUCGAGAAAGGCUAUGAGAAGGAUCCAGCUAUUGUUGCAAAGGAGGCUAUCCAAGAGGCUAGUCGUAAUAAUUCAGAUGUUGUUCUUGUUGAUACAGCAGGAAGAAUGCAGGAUAAUGAGCCAUUGAUGAGAGCACUUUCAAAACUAAUAAAUCUAAACAACCCCGAUUUAGUUCUUUUUGUUGGAGAAGCUCUCGUAGGGAAUGAUGCUGUGGAUCAACUUUCCAAGUUCAACCAGAAACUAGCAGAUUUCUCAUCAAUGCCAACUGCCAGGUUGAUAGAUGGCAUUCUGCUUACCAAGUUUGAUACAAUUGAUGAUAAGGUUGGGGCAGCCCUUUCCAUGGUUUAUAUUUCUGGAGCCCCAGUAAUGUUUGUUGGCUGUGGCCAAUCUUACACGGACCUGAAGAAACUGAACGUCAAAUCCAUUGUGAAAACCCUUCUGAAAUGAAUUUUAUAUGCUGUGCUGUCACCCAAACUGCUGCUAUUUCCUUUUAUGACUCAUUUCCAGUGACCUUGUCUUCUUUGCACCGGAGCCUAGGAUUUCCUUUGGAGCCAGAGAUUAUUCUUGAGGUGGUGUGCUUCUACUUUCAUCAUAUUAGAAAAUGUAGAAAUACACAAAUUUUAUUUAGAAAUAUCGAUGUUUUGUUUAGUAUACUAAAAA